rnacentral:rRNA from 1 species
UACGUAGGGGGCGAGCGUUGUCCGGAUUUAUUGGGCGUAAAGAGCUCGUAGGCGGUUCGGUAAGUCGGAUGUGAAAUCUCCACGCUCAACGUGGAGGGGCCAUUCGAUACUGCCGUGACUCGAGUCCGGUAGGGGAGUGUGGAAUUCCCGGUGUAGCGGUGAAAUGCGCAGAUAUCGGGAGGAACACCAAUGGCGAAGGCAGCUCGCUGGGACGGUACUGACGCUGAGACGCGAAAGCGUGGGGAGCAAACAGA